GGUGGGAUCGCAUAGUUGGCCUAGUGCGCGCGCUUGGAAAGCGCGUAAGCCCGCAAGGGCUUCGUGGGUUCAAAUCCCACUCCCACCG
rnacentral:tRNA from 1 species